GGGCCGGCUUAAGUUCCUUGGAACAGGGCGUCACAGAGGGUGAGAAUCCCGUACGUGGCCGGCGGCCAAUUCCGUGUGAAACCCCUUCGACGAGUCGAGUUGUUUGGGAAUGCAGCUCAAAAUGGGUGGUAAAUUUCAUCUAAAGCUAAAUACCGGCCAGAGACCGAUAGCGCACAAGUAGAGUGAUCGAAAGAUGAAAAGCACUUUGGAAAGAGAGUUAAACAGUACGUGAAAUUGUUGAAAGGGAAGCGCUGGCAACCAGACUUGCUCGCGGGUGAUCAGCCUCCCUUCGGGGGGGUGCACUCGCCCGCGAUCAGGCCAGCAUCGGUUUCGGCGGGCGGAUAAAGUCCUCAGGAAUGUAGCUCCCCUCGGGGAGUGUUAUAGCCUGAGGUGCCAUGCGCCCUGCCGGGACCGAGGACCGCGCUCCGGCUAGGAUGCUGGCGUAAUGGUUGUCAGCGACCCGUCUUGAAACACGGACCAAGGAGUCUAACAUCUGUGCGAGUGUUUGGGUGUCAAACCCAGGCGCGGAAUGAAAGUGAACGGAGGUGGGAGCCCUCCCGGGGGCGCACCAUCGACCGAUCCUGAUGUCUUCGGAUGGAUUUGAGUAGGAGCAUAGCUGUUGGGACCCGAAAGAUGGUGAACUAUGCGUGAAUAGGGUGAAGCCAGAGGAAACUCUGGUGGAGGCUCGCAGCGGUUCUGACGUGCAAAUCGAUCGUCAAAUUUGCGUAUAGGGGCGAAAGGUACGUCGGUGAAUUUCUUAUUGUCCCAUUCCUGUAACAAUCGUAGUGUAAUUAUUUGUGGAGCGACCGCUGACCAUUUGGCAGACUAAUCGAACCAUCUAGUAGCUGGUU
rnacentral:rRNA from 1 species